rnacentral:rRNA from 1 species
CCUGGCUCAGAUUGAACGCUGGCGGCAGGCCUAACACAUGCAAGUCGAACGGUAGCACAGAGAGCUUGCUCUCGGGUGACGAGUGGCGGACGGGUGAGUAAUGUCUGGGAAACUGCCUGAUGGAGGGGGAUAACUACUGGAAACGGUAGCUAAUACCGCAUAACGUCGCAAGACCAAAGAGGGGGACCUUCGGGCCUCUUGCCAUCAGAUGUGCCCAGAUGGGAUUAGCUAGUAGGUGGGGUAACGGCUCACCUAGGCGACGAUCCCUAGCUGGUCUGAGAGGAUGACCAGCCACACUGGAACUGAGACACGGUCCAGACUCCUACGGGAGGCAGCAGUGGGGAAUAUUGCACAAUGGGCGCAAGCCUGAUGCAGCCAUGCCGCGUGUAUGAAGAAGGCCUUCGGGUUGUAAAGUACUUUCAGCGGGGAGGAAGGUGUUGUGGUUAAUAACCGCAGCAAUUGACGUUACCCGCAGAAGAAGCACCGGCUAACUCCGUGCCAGCAGCCGCGGUAAUACGGAGGGUGCAAGCGUUAAUCGGAAUUACUGGGCGUAAAGCGCACGCAGGCGGUCUGUCAAGUCGGAUGUGAAAUCCCCGGGCUCAACCUGGGAACUGCAUUCGAAACUGGCAGGCUAGAGUCUUGUAGAGGGGGGUAGAAUUCCAGGUGUAGCGGUGAAAUGCGUAGAGAUCUGGAGGAAUACCGGUGGCGAAGGCGGCCCCCUGGACAAAGACUGACGCUCAGGUGCGAAAGCGUGGGGAGCAAACAGGAUUAGAUACCCUGGUAGUCCACGCCGUAAACGAUGUCGAUUUGGAGGUUGUGCCCUUGAGGCGUGGCUUCCGGAGCUAACGCGUUAAAUCGACCGCCUGGGGAGUAUCGGCCGCAAGGUUAAAACUCAAAUGAAUUGACGGGGGCCCGCACAAGCGGUGGAGCAUGUGGUUUAAUUCGAUGCAACGCGAAGAACCUUACCUGGUCUUGACAUCCACAGAACUUUCCAGAGAUGGAUUGGUGCCUUCGGGAACUGUGAGACAGGUGCUGCAUGGCUGUCGUCAGCUCGUGUUGUGAAAUGUUGGGUUAAGUCCCGCAACGAGCGCAACCCUUAUCCUUUGUUGCCAGCGGUCCGGCCGGGAACUCAAAGGAGACUGCCAGUGAUAAACUGGAGGAAGGUGGGGAUGACGUCAAGUCAUCAUGGCCCUUACGACCAGGGCUACACACGUGCUACAAUGGCGCAUACAAAGAGAAGCGACCUCGCGAGAGCAAGCGGACCUCAUAAAGUGCGUCGUAGUCCGGAUUGGAGUCUGCAACUCGACUCCAUGAAGUCGGAAUCGCUAGUAAUCGUAGAUCAGAAUGCUACGGUGAAUACGUUCCCGGGCCUUGUACACACCGCCCGUCACACCAUGGGAGUGGGUUGCAAAAGAAGUAGGUAGCUUAACCUUCGGGAGGGCGCUUACCACUUUGUGAUUCAUGACUGGGGUGAAGUCGUACAGGGGUAACCCGUA